AAGAAGUUUCGGAAAGGCCCAUCAUAGCUUCGCUGUUUUCCAUAACAACCGGGGACGCUUUCUCCUGAUUGGCUGCUGCUACAUCCUGUGUUUUCAGGCCUCGCUAGCAGAUGCUAUUUUAAACCACACUCCCUUCACGAGCUGGGGAUUAACAAGUACAUCUUAGAAAAGGCGUAAAUCAGUACUAUCAUACUUGUCUAUCGGCGGCCGUUCGAGUGAAGGAAUCUGAUAAACAUGAGUUAGUAACUUAGACACGGAAAAGAAAGCUGAGCUGCACCGACUGUUGACAACGGUUCUUCUGCGGAAUUACUGACACCAACGUUAACUUAAUGUGAAGCUUCCAGCUCCUCAUUAAUGAAUAAAGACAAGUCAGCGGUGAAAACAGCUCUUCUGUUGUGUCGCCAGAAUGCACAAGGGGUGGUUUGCUGGACGCCAUGUCUGCCGUUGAGUAAGAAUAAUGCCUUGAAGAUAGUGAACAUUAGCUCGGGAUUUUUUACUUAAACCAGUCAAAGCCGUUCCUUUUAGGAACAUCUACUUUAAGAAAGCUUACGUCGUGGUGAAGUGGAUGCUGUGGGUUCUUUGCCACAGUCACAGGUGAAAUCAGUGCCACUGUUAAAAUAAAAAGCUUUGCUGUAUCGUCUGGGAUGGAUCACAACAACCCAGAGAUGAUGAAAGAUACAUCACCUGGCCUGACAGCAGAUUUGGAUAAUUCUGAGUCCUUCUGUCCAGAAAAGGAGCAGGUUAGUUGUUUUUUUCUGUCCAAAAUUUAUAUUGUUUGAUUUGACCGGUGGCUCCUCUGGUCUGCAUGUCAAAGUGCCCUUGGGCAAGAUACUGAGCCCAAAUUGCUCCUGGUGUGCGCGUGAGUAUAUGUGAAUGAUUAGUUUCUUUCUAAGGGCAAAUGGUACUUUGCAUGGCAGCUUCACUGUAUGAGUAUGUGAGAAUGUGACAUGUUGGGUCCUAUCUUGCACCCGGAGCAAAGCAGCGCAAGUGACAUUGUGAGUUUCCAACCGAUGCAGUUGUCAUUUUCUCGCCCAUGUUGUUUAAAUACUUGCGUCCAUCUGUGCGCCCAUGGGAGUGUUGGUCUUAAAAAGUGUGGUCAGGUAAAUUUUUGUCACAUUGCUAUCUUGAGAAGCAAUUGACCAAAAAUACAGGUCUAGGGCCCUAUUUUAACGAUUAGUCAUGGGUGUGUUUUGGGUGUAACAUGAACCAAACAUGUGUCAUCUCCCAUUCCCUUUAAAAGCCAGGUGCAUUUGUACCUUGGAGCAUUGCUAUUAGGGCUGAACGA